UCCUAUGCUCUUCGAAGGGGAUUAAAUUAGACCUAUGUUUGAAAAUGGAAAAAAUUAAAAAAUUUUGAAUUCAAAUUUUGAGUUCUUUUUGUGCAUGAAAUUUUUUAUGGGUGAGGAAAAAAAUAUUAAGAAGAAAAUUUUUCUUUUUCUUCACCUCGAUAAAUAAUAUUUAUAUAAAAUUAUUAUAAAAAGUCCCUAGAGGAAAACAAUAGUGAUGUAGAAAAUUUUUC
rnacentral:lncRNA from 1 species